rnacentral:Y_RNA from 1 species
GGCUGGUCCAGAUGGAGUGAGUUAUCUUAGUUCAUUGUUCACAGGCAGUUACUGAUGGAACUCCUGGUGUUGUUCUUUUCCCACUUCUCACUACAUUUGUCUAGUAAAA